rnacentral:rRNA from 1 species
CAAUAGCGUAUAUUAAAGUUGUUGCAGUUAAAAAGCUCGUAGUUGGAUUUCUGGUUGAAGCGACCGGUCGGGCGUUGAUUCGUCUGCACUGGAGUCGGUUUUGGCCAUCCUCUAGGAAAGUGCGUCUGGUAUUAAGUUAUCGGGCGUAUGAUCCUGGUCUUUUACUGUGAAAAAAUUAGAGUGUUUAAAGCAGGCCUUCGCCUUGAAUACGUUAGCAUGGAAUAAUAAGAUAGGACUUUGGUCUAUUUUGUUGGUUUGCAGACCGAAGUAAUGAUUAAUAGGGAUAGUUGGGGGUAUUUAUAUUCCGAUGUCAGAGGUGAAAUUCUUAGAUUUUCGGAAGAUAAACUUAUGCGAAAGCAUUUACCAAGGAUGUUUUCAUUAA